rnacentral:tRNA from 1 species
CGCGGAGUAGAGCAGUGGCAGCUCGCGAGGCUCAUAACCUCGAGGCCGGUGGUUCGAUUCCACCCUCCGCUA